rnacentral:rRNA from 1 species
CCUACGGGAGGCAGCAGUGAGGAAUAUUGGUCAAUGGACGAGAGUCUGAACCAGCCAAGUAGCGUGAAGGAUGACUGCCCUAUGGGUUGUAAACUUCUUUUAUAAAGGAAUAAAACGAGGCACGUGUGCCUUUUUGCAUGUACUUUAUGAAUAAGGAUAGGCUAACUCCGUGCCAGCAGCCGCGGUAAUACGGAGGAUCCGAGCGUUAUCCGGAUUUGUUGGGUUUAAAGGGAGCGUAGAUGGGGUGUUAAGUCAGUUGUGAAAGUUUGCGGCUAAACCGUAAAAUUGCAAUUGAUACUGGCAGUCUUGAGUACAGUUGAGGUAGGCGGAAUUCGUGGUGUAGCGGUGAAAUGCUUAGAUAUCACGAAGAACCCCGAUUGCGAAGGCAGCUUACUAAACUGUGACUGACAUUGAUGCUCGAAAGUGUUGGUAUCAAACAGGAUUAGAUACCCGAGUAGUC